AUUCACUGCCCCUUCCAACCAUUCAAAUACUGAUCCCCUCCCACAAUUUAGUAGACUGUGCCCUCCCACCACUCUAAUACACUGCCUCCUCCUCCCCCAAUUUAAUACACUGCCCACUCCCUCCCCAAAUUAAUACACUGCCCCCCCUCCCAUGACUCUAAUACAUUGUCCCAUUCCCUCACCCAAAUUAAGACACUGGCCUCCUCCCUCCCAUACAUUAAUACACUGUCCCCUCCC